GGAGCAGCUUCUGGAGAGACCGGGUAUCCCGGCGCCGACGGAUUCACAAUCUCAGGCAAAAGGACAGAAGAGUAACA
rnacentral:ncRNA from 2 species